UCCCUGGUAGUAUAUUGGUUAGUACAUGCGCUUGUCAUCUCUCCUGUUCAUGGUAGUUUUGUGACGCGCGAAAGCUGGGUUCAACUCCCAGCCAGGGAG
rnacentral:tRNA from 1 species